CGGCUUUCAUUCUUCCUUCACAACGUAAAACAUUCACUCAUGUUUACCGUAAUUUAAUUUUGUCGGUCUCUAUUUCAACCCUUCUUUGUGGUUAUAAAUCUUCCAUUUUGUGUUUUCGUUUGAUGCAAAUCUUGGGUUCAAUUCAUCAACUGAUCCAAUGGGAGUUUUUGCUGUUCUUCUGUUUGCUAUUCUGUUUAAUUUGUAUGACCCUUUGAAGCUUUUUCUGAAUCUGUCAAUUCGUCUGCGCUGUCUGCUGUUGGCCUCCGUCGUCCUUGAUGCUCCUCCAGUCUCCUUCUCCAGCCGCUCCACGUCGAGAUAAAGAAGUUGGUGAUGACAUGGUAUUAAGUAAUGCCAUAACAAGGGUUUUGACUGCACAAAAUCUUCAACUCUGCAACUCUUUGAUUGUUCUUCUGAGAUUAUCUUCUUCCUCCUGAUACAUAUUUUCGUUAGUUUUAGGGGGCGCAGGCUUCUCAUUUUCACAGUGAAGAGUCUGAUCCCUUUGGAAUGACUUCAACAAACCAGCAGGCAGAGCUUCUCUUUUCUGUUUAUUUCUCAAAAACACUAGAGGCACAAGAAUUCCUUAAUUAGUACCAAAGCUUAGACGAAAUUGAUAAUAUUAUUGAUUUUUCAUGAAAUCUGAUAUUUGACUAUAUUAGAGACUGAAGUGUGUUGAAGUAUACACGAAUGAGAGAUCAACCACAAAGAAUAGAGUGGAAAAAAGUUGGUAUAAUAUUGUUGCAGUUUAUACGAAGAGUGGCAUAAUACAACUACAUUGUGCCUUUUACAAGCCAUAGUGCACAAACGACCCUUCAAACUUUCACUUUAGCUGUAAUCUAUAGAUCCAGGUGUACCUCUCACGUCUCAUUUUGUUGGUGCUCCUUACUUCAAUGAUGCUGACAUAACUAUUAGAUUAGAUAUACUAAGUACUUAUUUUUGAAGUUCUCUCAUUCUUCCUCUCACUGCUUACAGGGUUUAUCCCACAAGGGAAGAAGGUAGGAUUCUUGAGUUCAUAUAUGGCAGCAACCAGUUCAAAACAAAAGGAGGCUUAAUAGUAGGAACAGCCACAACGCACUAAUAUGCAAGUGAGGAAUUCAAAAUCAAACAGGAGAAGCAUGUUGUCUCUUCAAACUUUACCUUUAUUGUUAUGGUUGGCAUUGCAUCAAUUAAGUUCCAGGGAUCAAGUCUCAAAUAUAAAUUCUAACUUGACAGUUGCAAGGUUUUGGAUUCUCUGCUUCAUAGUCUCAAUAGCUAUCUGCUUGCUAUUCCUCAAACACUUCAAUUGGCUUCGUCCAUGAAUUCUGCAGCAGACCAACCCACGGUGGAGAGGAGCAUUCACACGAGCCCUAUGCAGCAGCUUCGGUGGCACCGCGCGGCAUGUUCAGAUACUCAUAGAACUGGCUUCGGUUUGAUUAUCAGGGAUGUCCAGGGGGAUUUAUUAUUUGCUGCGUGCUACAAACCUCUAAGCAAAUUCAAUCCCACCUUGGCAGAAGCAAGCUGUUUUAGUUAUCAUCAGAGUCAUCUUCUGCACGACCAUCGCAGAUUCUAGCUCCAAUUUUAAUGGGGACGUGACAUCUACACCUGCGCUGAGCUUUGCCCUACCUGCUUUAUUAAGUUGGUAGCAGCACAACAAGAAAGCUAAGAUUAGUUUCACCUUUGAAGGCUAUAGAAGUAGAAGUACUUCAAGCAUGAAUCCAGAAUUAAAGGAAACAACAGGGAGCAAGAGUUUUUGCCAGGUUUGGUGAAGCUUUUGCAGGGGGUGGCAGAGAAAAAAACACUAUCUCCUGAAGCAUUCCACAAAAGCAUAACUGUGGUGAUGAUCAGGAAGUGGGGUUUCCGGCAGCAUAGACAACCAUGUUCCUGCAAGAGCCUGCCAAAUUUGGCGGUGAAAAGAAGAAUGUUCGCUUUACUCUCUUUUUUUGUUUUUUAUUUUUCUCCCUAAAUGUUGAACAGCAGCUGGGUUGACAUUUUCACUAAAGCUAUCAGUUGUAAUCAGGUAUUAUGUCUGAAGUCGCAGCUCUUUGCCGCUUCACAAUUCUCGCUUCUGACAGGAACCUGAAAGUCUCAUGAGGUGGAGUUUUGUGUCCUAUAGAGAAAGAAGAUGAUGAAUUUGAGGCCGUAAUGUUUUUAGUGUGACUCGGGAUAAUUCAUUGGUUUUGCCAUGACUUGAACAUACAUCGACCCCUUCAGGGAGGACUUCUUGGUUACAAAGUCCAUUGCAUGAAAACCUCAAUUGUUCAAGAAUACUUUUUCAGGUCAUAGAGCAUCCUUGAAAAAAGAUGUCAGCUAUAGAUGGAUGUAAUGGGAGAUGCUUGAUUCAUUUAGCAUGCUGCAACUUUCCAAAGGAGCGUGCAUGUUGCAGGGUGUGAGUUCAUUUGUCAAUGGACUGAAAGAUCUUGAAAAGGCAAUUUGUUGAAAUAUAUUUAAGAAAAUAUGCAAUGUUUGCAUUCUGUGAUUGAUAUUGUACUAUUGUAGUUUGACAGUUUCCUAUACUUGCAUUUGAUUUUGAGCUGGGCCUUUUCAACUACUUAUUUUUAGACCAAAUUGUUGAA